AGUUCGAUCAUGGCUCAGAUUGAACGCUUAUGAUGUUUACACAUGCAAGUCGAACGGGCAGCACGGACUUCAGUCUGGUGGCGAGUGGCGAACGGUGAGUAAUGUAUCGGAACGUGCCUAGUAGUGGGGAUACUACGUAGCGCGCUAAUACUGCACAUUGCCCUUUCGGGAAAGCGGGGACCUUUCUUCGGGCCUCGCAAUUAUUAGAGCGGCCGAUAUCGGAUUAGCUAGUUGCGGGCAACGGCUCACCAAGGGCGACGAUCCGUAGCUGGUUUGAGAGGACGACCAGCCACACUGGGACUGAGACACGGCCCAGACUCCUACGGGAGGCAGCAGUGGGAAUUUUGGACAAUGGGGGAAACCCUGAUCCAGCCAUCCCGCGCGUGUGUGAUGAAGGCCUUCGGGUUGUGGGUAUACACUUUUGGCAGGAAAGAAACGGCAUCGGCUAAUACCCUCGUGCAACUGACGGUACCUCCGCAGAAUAAGCACCGGCUAACUACGUACCAGCACAAGGCGGUAAUACGUAUGGGUGCAAGCGUUAAUCGGAAUUACUGGGCGUAAAAGCGUGCAGGCGGUUCGGAAAGAAAGAUGUGAAAUCCCAGAGCUUAACUUUGGAACUGCAUUUUUAACUACCGAGCUAGAGUGUGUCAGAGGUGGAGGUGGAAUUCCGCGUAGCAGUGAAAUGUAGAUAUGCGGAGGAACACCGAUGGCGAAGGCAGCCUCCUGGGAUAACACUGACGCUUCAUGCACGAAAGCGUGGGGAGCAAACAGAUUAUUACCCUGGUAGUCCACGCCCUAAACGAUGUCAACUAGCUGUUGGGGGCUUUCGGGCCUUGGCAGGUAGCGCAGCUAACGCGUGAAGUUGACCGCCUGGGGAGUACGGUCGCAAGAUUAAAACUCAAAGGAAUUGACGGGGACCCGCACAAGCGCGGAUGAUGUGGAUUAAUUCGAUGCAACGCGAAAACCUUACCUACUCCUUGACAUGUUCUGGAAUCCUGAAGAGAUUUGGGAGUGCCUGCAAGAGAACCGGAACACAGGUGCUGUGAUUAAGGUCGUCAGCUCGUGUCGUGAGAUGUUGGGUUAAGUCCCGCAACGAGCGCAACCCUUGUCAUUAGUUGCUACGAAAGGGCACUCUAAUGAGACUGCCGGUGACAAACCGGAGGAAGGUGGGGAUGACGUCAAGUCCUCAUGGCCCCCAGGGUAGGGCUUCACACGUCAUACAAUGGUCGGGACAGAGGGUCGCCAACUACAGGGGGAGCCAAUCCCAGAAACCCGAUCGUAGUCCGGAUCGCAGUCUGCAACUCGACUGCGUGGGAAGUCGGAAUCGCUAGUAAUCGCGGAUCAGCAUGUCGCGGUGAAUACGUUCCUGGUCUUGUACACACCGCCCGUCACACCAUGGGAGUGGGUUUACCAUGAAGGAGCGCCUAACCGCAAGGAGUGCUGGACACUACGGUAGGAUUCAUGACUGUAUGAAGUCGUAACAAGGUAG
rnacentral:rRNA from 1 species